CGGAAGAGUUGCAAGACUCGCCAACCCUUUGUGAACUUACCUGAACCGUUGCUUCGGCGGGCAGCCCCAGGGCGGGGCCGCCGCCUCCCGCGUUAGGGAGGUGCCCGCCGGAAGCCCCAACACCAACUCUGUUCUGUGUCUUCUGAGUAACAAAACAAAAAUGAAUCA
rnacentral:misc_RNA from 1 species